UACGUAGGUGGCAAGCGUUAUCCGGAAUUAUUGGGCGUAAAGAGCGCGCAGGUGGUUGAUUAAGUCUGAUGUGAAAGCCCACGGCUUAACCGUGGAGGGUCAUUGGAAACUGGUCGACUUGAGUGCAGAAGAGGGAAGUGGAAUUCCAUGUGUAGCGGUGAAAUGCGUAGAGAUAUGGAGGAACACCAGUGGCGAAGGCGGCUUCCUGGUCUGUAACUGACACUAAGGCGCGAAAGCGUGGGGAGCAAACAGGAUUAGAUACCCU
rnacentral:rRNA from 1 species